UCCUUAGUUCCCUCUGCCUGUGUCACUUUCUAAGCCGGCCAGUAUCGGGUCUCCACAUCUCAUUUUUCAGUUCAUUCUCUGUAGUGCCUGAACUUCUCCAAGAUGAACUUCAGAAGAUCCACCGCGUAUCAUAUGCCUUCUUCCCACAUCUCCAUGACCCGCUCUGUACCCCAACGUGCUGCCAGUGUCCAUGCUGGAGCUGGUGGAACAGGCGCCCGCAUUUCUUCUGCCUCCGUAGCUUCCCUGCGUUCUGGUGCUCCAAUGGCCUCCUCUUCCUCUGCCUUCAAGGUGAGCAGUGGAAUGGGUUCCAGUUAUGGUAGCAGCGGUGCAUCUGUGGCAACUGGUACUGGGAUCAUGGGCAAUGAGAAGGGAGCCAUGCAGAACCUGAACGACCGCCUGGCCAACUACCUGGAGACGGUGAGAAACCUGGAGCAGGCCAACAAGGAGCUGGAGAUGAAGAUCAUGGAGGCUCUGGAGAAGGGGAGCCCCGACAUGAGGGACUACAGCAAGUAUGAGCCCAUCAUAGACGAUCUGCGCAGGCAGAUCUUUGAUAAGAUUUCAGAGAAUGCUCGUUAUGCGCUCCAGAUCGACAAUGCCCGCCUUGCUUCUGACGACUUCAAAGUAAAAUUCGACAAUGAGAUGGCAAUCCGCCAGUCUGUGGAGGCUGACAUUGCUGGGCUGAAGAAAGUCAUAGAUGACACUAACAUGACCAGGAUGAACAUCGAGAGUGAGAUUGAAGCUGUGAGGGAAGAACUCGCCUUCCUCAGGAAGAACCACGAGAAUGAGGUGAUGGAGCUGAGGAAUCAGAUCUCCCAUUCAGGCGUGCAAGUAGACAUCGACGCCCCCAAAGGUCAGGACCUGGCACAGAUCAUGGGUGAAGUGAGGAGCAACUAUGAGAAGAUUGCUGUGAAGAAUGCAGAAGAACUGAAACGAUGGCAUGAAAAUCAGAUUGCAGAUGUGCAGGUGCAAGUAUCACAGAACACAGAAGCUCUCCAGGGAGCCCAGAUGGAGAUAAGCGACUUAUCCAGACAGAUACAGACCUUGGAAAUUGAACUUGCGUCCCAACAGAGCUUGAAAGCCUCCUUAGAGGACACAUUAGGCAACACAGAGCUACGAAACAACAUGGAAAUGGAGAAGUACAACAACAUUGUUAUUCAUCUCGAGGAGGAGCUGACCAAAUUGCGCGCAAACAUCCAGGCUCAGACCCAAGAUUAUGAGACGCUGCUCAGCAUGAAGAUGAAACUGGAGGCCGAGAUUGCCACUUAUAAGAGUCUGCUGGAUGGUGGAGACUUCAAGUAAGAGUUAUAAAGAGGUGGAGGAGAAAAAAACAGAUCGAGGCAAAGUGAUGGUGGUGGUGGAGGCUCCAGGAUGCACUGGAUGAGCUGGCGGCCACAAUUUAAUUUGGAACAAAGAAUCUGGGACCAUCCCAACAAAGAAAGCAGAUCAACCCACAACUAUCCUUCCUGGAAAAAAAAGGCCAUGCUGGUCCAACCAUCUAAAGCCAGUUUGGAAGACCUCACACUGUGUAAACCAUAAAUGAUUUGAGCAAUUCUCAAUAAAGGCAUUCAACCACAGUGAAACAGGGCUGUUUCAAAAGUAACCACUGCCUGAUCUGUCAAAAAAAAUAAAAAUAACCACUUACUGACACAUC